CUCUGGGUGAGUCCUGGGGUGGCCAUCGAUCAAAUGAAGAAAGCACUUCCUGCUCUCACGGAGCUCUGAGUCUCUACGCAGACCCGUAAAGAGAUUGUAAAAGAUGGUGAUCCCAAGGCAUCAGCUGGUGUUCCUAAUGGCUGACAUCUUACCUAUAGAAAAAAGUGGGACAAUUCACACAAAUUGAAAUUAUGAGACUCUGAAUUCAGAUGAAUGGCAACAAGUUUGGGAAAAGAGCAUCCCUUGAAGAAAAGGCAUGGGCAUUCCUACAUUCAGAGAGAACUACUCAAACUUCAGGGGCUAAUGUAUUUUUCUGUCAACAACAAUGAAGUUAUAAAUUUUUUCCAAAAAUAGAAUUCUA